rnacentral:antisense_RNA from 1 species
GCCAGGGCCAUGCAAUCUGAAUGUGGGCUUGAUGCCAAGUAACAUCUAACAGGUCCAGUAAAAGAGGCCUACACAAUAAAGGCAGCAUGUGAGAAAGGCUGACUCUGGAACAUCAGGAUAAACUGCUAUAGUUUUCCACUAUUGAGCUGAAUUUCGUAUCACCAUCAAAAGUUACCUACCUACAAGUCCCUAGUAGAGAAAAUUUAACUUCUGGCUUUAAAGAAGGGACAGAAAAGUAGGCAGAUCUGCUAGGAAGCAAACUACAGCUCCCCUCAGGAGACACACAGGCAGUGGGUAAGAGGAACAGACCCAUGGCUCCACUGAAGACACAGAGCAGCAGACGAAAAAGACAUGUCCUAAAUGUUAAAUGGUAAGGAGGGGUAGGGUGAAAAAAGGGAACACGGAUGCCAGGCAGAAGAAAUAAAAGCCUUCCCAAACA